UUGUGUCCACUGCUGCAUCUUGCAUCUCUUCACUCCUUGUUCGCUAUUUUCAAAUAUAGCUUCUUUAGCUAUUUUUCAUAUUUAAAAUUAAUUAAUUUCCCAAAAAACAAAAGAAAAAGAAGUGUGUUUUCGAUCGUUUAAAGAUCUCUUUUCUGGUUCAUUUUCUGCUGCAUCAACUUGCUGCUUUCCUGUUUGCUACUUCAAUUUGCCAUACACACACACAUGUAAAAAUAUUUCUUCUUUUUUUUUUUUUUAAUUGUAUCUGUGUCUUGAAAGCUGAUCGAAGAAUGGAAGCUAAGAUUGGUGCUGAGCAUUCAGAGUGAUACUACAGAGAACUAUUGUUAAUUGGUGCUUUCUCGCUGGGCACAGAAAAGGGGGAGAGAACUAUUGUUAAUUGGUGCUUUCUCGCUGGGCGCAGAAAAGGAGGAGAGGGAUUGUUAGUGGAAUUUGUUUGGAAGUUAAGGAACAAGCCAAGCCCUAUUUUGUACAAGAGGAACCCUUUUGGUAUUAAAGGAUUGAGUCCAAAAGAAGGAACCAGUGGAGGAUGAGGAAAGGAGUAAAGCUAGGGGUUGUUUGUGAAUUGUAAAGAACUACAACCCCUUUCUUUUUGAGCAAAUCUAUUGUAAUGUAUUUAGGAUUAGGGUGCUAGUAGGAUAUGAUUAUGUAUAUGUGCAUGAGUAUGUGUGAAUUGUAUGGCUUGUGUAUGAAUUUUUGUUUGCUUGUAGACUUGUAACUAGGAAACUUGGCUAUGGUGUGUGGUUUUGAUGAAUUUAUUCAGUAGACCAAGUUUCCACUAAAAUAAAUAUUUAUUUUGGUAUAUAUGUGAUUCCACAAGAAAAUACAAAGUGGUUACAUUGUAAA